GACGGGGGAUGCAAGUGUUAUCCGGAAUCAUUGGGCGUAAAGCGCGCGUAGGCGGCCCUGUAAGUCCGUUGUGAAAGUCAAAGGCUCAACCUUUGAAAGCCGAUGGAUACUGCAGGGCUAGAGUCCGGAAGAGGCGAGUGGAAUUCCUGGUGUAGCGGUGGAAUGCGCAGAUAUCAGGAGGAACACCAAUAGCGAAGGCAGCUCGCUGGGACGGUACUGACGCUAAGGCGCGAAAGCGUGGGGAGCGAACAGG
rnacentral:rRNA from 1 species